rnacentral:rRNA from 1 species
CAUAACCUUUAGCUAAACCAGUAUUAAAGGCAACGCCUGCCCAGUGAAUAAUUAAACGGCCGCGGUACCCUAACCGUGCAAAGGUAGCGUAAUCAUUUGUCUAUUAAUUGUAGACCCGUAUGAAAGGCAUAAUGAGGGUUUAACUGUCUCUUUUAGUAUAUCAAUUAAACUGAUCUCCUAGUCCAAAAGCUAGGAUACCAACAUAAGACCAGAAGACCCUGUGAAACUUUAACUAAAAUAUUAAAGCCUAUAAUAACUACUUUAGGUUGGGGCGACCUUGGAAAAUAAAAGAACUUCCACACACAUAUUACAUAAUAAUAUAUAACCGGCCAACAAGCCUAUAACGACCCAGCACAGCUGAUAAUUGAACCAAGCUACUCCAGGGAUAACAGCGCUAUCUUCUUCAAGAGCCCAUAUCAAAAAGAAGGUUUACGACCUCGAUGUUGGAUCAGGACAUCCUAAUGGUGCAACCGCUAUUAAGGGUUCGUUUGUUCAACGAUUAAUAGUCCUACGUGAUC